rnacentral:rRNA from 1 species
AGGACGAACGCUGGCGGCGUGCCUAACACAUGCAAGUCGAACGGGACCAGGGGCAACUCUGGUUCAGUGGCGGACGGGUGCGUAACACGUGAGGAACAUGACCUUCGGCGGGGGAUAGCCGGCCCAACGGCCGGGUAAUACCGCGUACGACCACUCGGGGACAUCCCCGAGGUGGUGAAAGCAGCAAUGCGCCGAUGGAGUGCCUCGCGGCCUAUCAGCUAGUGGUGAGGUACGCUC